UUGCCUGAUCAGUUGGUUGCCUGGGCCACCGAGGAUGCUCAGCGCUCUUUGAUGCUUCUGGGCCACUUGACCCAGGAGGAGAAAAAAACUACCACCAAUGUGAGGAAGAAAACGGAUCGUUUCAUCUCAUGUCAGGGAUGCUAAGAGAUGCAUUGAUCCAGUGUCACUGCUUCAGGAGAGUGCUUCGUAAAGGGCUAGGAACCUCAAUUGAGAAGAUGCUUCUGUCUGACUGGCCGGCAGUUAAGUCUGUGAGGCACCUUUUCUUGAUCAAUCAUUGAGGUGGAGGGCCCAGCCUACUGUGGGUGGUGCUGUCCCUGGGCUAAAAGAAGCUAAGUAAGCCAUGAGGAGCAAGCCAGCACGGUUUCUUCUUCAGCUCCUGUCUCCAGGUUCCUGCUCUGACUUCCUUUCACAAUGGACUGUUUUAUUACUUGAAACUGAAAUUAACCCGUUCCUCCCCAUGUUGCUUUUGGUCAUGGUGUUUAUCACAGCAAUAGAAGUUGAGAACUGAGAAUCUAAAUUGCACUUAACUGAUGUUCUAGGAAACAACAGAAGUAACAGGGUGGAUAUCUGAAGCUGUGAUGGCUGGAAGUCUCCCAAACUCAAGAGCAAGUUUGAUUCCUUAGAUUAAACAGAAGUGUGGGCAAGCCACUUCCGUGCUCUGUCAUAUAGUAGGACUACACGAUGCCAAAGGGAGGAAGAAGACGGGGAGACAGCUUGGAAGACGAGAGUCGCAGCGGCACAAGCGUUAUGACCCGAGUUCAAUUCCCGGAUCCAUGGAAACCGGAUGCAGUGCUCACAUCUGUAAUCCGAAGACUCCUACAGCGAGGUGGGAGGCAGAGACAAAACAGUCUCCCAAAAUUUCCUGAGCCAGAGGCCGGCAAGCCUAGAGUACAUAGUGUGGAAACAAGAGCCCUCCUUAGAAACACGAUGCAGAGAGAGAAUGAAUUGACCCCUGAAAAGCAAAGCUGCCCCUGACUUUCACGCGCAUGCUCUGGCACAGCACAACCAUACCACACACAUGAAUACCUUAACUAAUUUUUAAGACAACCUUACAAGAGGCGGGUACUUUUUUCCGCUAGUUUUUAUCAGCUUACAUUAUUAUUUGGUGGUGUUUUGAAUUCUACCCUAAGGUCAAAAGUUAUUCUCUAAAAGGGUCUAUAGCCCGGACUUUCAUGUUUAGGUCUGUGGUCCAUUAUAGUUUUUCUGUAUUGUGAAUGAGGGAGAGAUUAAGGUUUAUAUUAUCAUAAACAUCUUAAUACAAAUGUUGCAUUUCAUGUUUAUUUAUUUAUAAUAUGUAUAAAUAUUGUAUUUA